CCGCCAGCGGAGCCCGCCUCUUCGCGAUGCCCCUCGCCGGGGCUUGCCCUCCCGCCCGCCAUCCCCCCGCCGCCCGGGGGAGCCCCACGGGGCGCUGAGCGCCCGCCGGCGAAAGUUAGACCGGCGGCGGACAGGCACCUACCCGCUGACUGCAAUGUCUCCUCCGGGCGCGGGGUGCUAAGACGAGGUGAAAUCCCUUUAGUGGUCAUGAGGCGGCUUCAGAGACAAACACCACAGUGCGAGUGCAAAUAACAAAAGGGGAAAAAAAAAAAAAAAAGGAAAAUACACGAGAGGGAGACCGGGAACAAUGGGGGAGGAGAGGCUCGCCGCGCCUGGCCGCCGCCGGCACCCCGGCAGGAGCAGGAGGCAGAGGAGGAAGGCGAGGUGGCUGCCGCGGGGAGGGGGCUGCGCGGGGAGUCUCCUCAGAGCAGUCCCGGGCUCCUUCUCGCCGGCCGCGCACCGGGGCGGCCCUGCGGCUGCGGCGGGGCGGACAACGCCCUUUGCUCUGCCUGUACUUCAUACAGCUGAUCGGGAGCAAGCACCGCGGUGCCCGGGCGCGGGGGAAAGAAGAGGCGAAACCGGCCGCCGGAGCCUGGGGACAGGCAAGGGGCGACCCGCCGGUGCUGCUGCUAAUAAAGUCACGCUCUGCAAGUAAGAGGUUUCUCUGUUUUGUUUACUUACGGGGUCUUUUAUUUUUAAUGGAGAGGUUCGUACACGUGCUGCUGUGGAGCGGUGCAGCCGGCUUAGGCGGAGUGUGCGCCUGAGAGUGGGAAAUGCAGCACUAAGCCAAACGGUUCAAAGAAGAGCAAGUUCGGUUAUUAUUCAUCUCCACGAGGGAAGUCUUAUCUUCUACAAAUAUUUGAUACUGGGACAAGUCCAAUAAUUAACAAGAACAAUCAAACAAUUUCACUGCCUUCUCGGGGAUUUAAAAAGUCGUCAUCUGGAAUUCAUGAGCAUUACAACCGGGUUUUUUUCUGCUUGGAUGCGUUAUUGUAUAUGAUCUUUUCAGUAUGUGUGCGUCCCUAAGUAAUUUUACCCUUUGAUGCAAAAAGAUGCAAACCAUUAAGGGCACAGAUAAUAGUCACAAUUGCUGAGUCAGUGAGACUUCAGCCCUCUCCGUAUGAGUGGGGAGAGAGGGUGGUAACCCUGAUGGGAAAAGGGAAAAACAACACAAAAAAAAAAAAAAAAGAAAAAAAAAAAAAAGAGGUGGAGGAGUGUUUCUUUCUUGGCUUCCUCCCUACCUCUGUGGCAGGAACUCCCACGGGCGUCCUGUGGGUGGGAUGGGAGCAGCACAGAGCUAAGGCACGGCUGCCUGGCAGGAGAAUGGCCAGUGAUGUAAAGGUGCAAGCGUCUGUGCUCCCAGCUGGCCCCAGAACUCCUCUUACCAGAGAAGAAGCCACACCGGGAAAGGAAUGGGAGUACCAAGCUCUGCAGCAGCAUUUCUGACACAGCAUGAGCUUGGGGUGCCAGGGAGGCAGUGUGGCUUUCAGGACCUGUGGUGACCUAAGCAGGCCAGAUUGGUAGUGCCCCAGGGCCCAGUUGUAGCCCCAAAAUACCCCAAACUACUCAAACUUGCCUCAUCUGGAUCAAAUUCAGAUAUCGAGAAAGAUGACCACAUGCUGAAUGGCAAGAGUUUUACCCUGCACUGCCCCAGUCACCAAAUUAUGUCCAAGGUCUCACAGUGAUCACCAAAGUCACAAGUCCUCAGUCCAUGCCUGCUCAUGCAACCCUCCAGUCUCAUGGCUGGCAGCCCCAGUGCUGGCACAGGUAAGGAAAUACAUUGGGCAUGGAGCUCCACUCAUUUUCAGGUAAUCUCAAGCCUCGGGACCUACAGCCAGACUUCUCUGUGAUAGGCUUGAUAGGGGAAUGUGUCCCCUCCCCACAACUUUCAGAUCUCUUUUCUCUUGAUACAAUUCCCACCCAAUUUUUUCAUUCCCUCCAGCCCCCCCCUUCACUUCUUGCUUUAUGUCAAGUUUCACAAUCAUGAUGAAGUUUCUUGCAGUUCAACACAAGAAAGGAAUUACAGUGGUUGGGUCCAAAACUAAUCUGGAGUGAAGAGAAAAAGCCAAAUGUGGGUGCAUUUUGUUGAAGAUCAAAAGCACAGUGGUGUGAGAUUGUAUUAUGCUCUCCACAGGAGCUGUAUUUUUCUACUACUACAAUAGGAUUAAGGUGCUCAGUGGAAAAGAGAAUUACAAGGGG